rnacentral:snRNA from 1 species
AGACUUACCUGGCAGGGGAGAUCCCAUGAUCAUGAAGGUGGUUUUCCCAGGGCGAGGCUCACCCAUUGCACUCCGGAUGGGCUGACCCCUGCCAUUUCCCCAAAUUUGGGAAACUCAACUGCACAAAA